ensembl:lncRNA
GGGGGGGGGGGGGGGGGGGGGGGGGGGGGGGGGGGGGGGGGGGGGGGGGGGUGGGGGGCACGGGGGGGGGGCUGGAAAGGGGCUGGAAGGGGGCUUGGGGUGCGGGCAGGGUACGAGUAGGGUGCUCGGGGUGCUGGGAGGGUGCUCAGGGUGCUGGGAGGGUGCUGGGGGUGCCGGGAGGGUGCUCAGGGUGCUCUCAGGGUGCUGGGGCUGCAGGCAGGGUGCUCAGGGUGCUGAGGGCAGGGUGCUCAGGGUGCAAGUAGGGUGCUCGGGGUGCAGGCAGGGUGCUCUCAGGGCAUAAAUUGGGUGCUCAGGGUGCAAAGAGGAUGCUCAGGGUGCUGGCAGGGUGCUCUCAGGGUGCAAGUAGGGUAUUGAGGGUGCAGGGAGGGCCCAGGCAGGGUGCUCAGGGUGCUCAGGGUGCAGGUAGGGUGCACUCAGGGCAUAAGUUGGGUGCUCAGGGUGCAGACAAGGUGCUGGCAGGGUGCUCAGGGUGCAGUCAGGGUGCAAGUAGGGUGCUCAGGGUGCUCAGGGUGCUGGCUGAGUCAGGCAGGGUGCUCAGGGUGCAGGUAGGGUGCACUCAGGACACAAGUUGGGUGCUCAGGGUGCAAAGAGGGUGCUCAGGGUGCUGGCAGGGUGCUCUCAGGGUGCUGUCUGGGUACAGGCAGUGUGCUUAGGGUGCAGGUAGGGUGCUUAGGGUGCUGGCUGGGUGCUGGAAGGCGUGGGCAGGGUGCUCAGGGUGCAGUCAGGGUGCAAGCAGGGUGCAGACAGGGUGCUCAGGGUGCAAAGAGGGUGCUAAGGGUGCUCUCAGGGUGCUGGCUGGGUACAGGCAGUGUGCUCAGGGUGCUGCUGGCUGGGUGCUCAGGGUGCUGGCUGGGUGCUCAGGGUGCUGGCUGGGUGCUGGAAGGGCGUGGGCAGGGUGCACCCAGGGUGUAGGCAGGGUGCUCAGGGUGCUCAGGGUGCGGGCAGGGUGUGAGCAGGGUGCUUGGGGUGCUGGCAGGGUGCUGGCAGGGUGCAAGUAGGGUGCUCAGGGUGCAGCCAGGGCGCACUCAGAGCACAAUUAGGGUGCUCAGGGUGCAGGUAGGGUGCCGGCAGGGUGCACUCAGAGCACAAUUAGGGUGCUCAGGGUGCAGGUAGGGCACGCUCAGGGUGCGGGCAGGGUGCUCAGGAUGCAAGUAGGGUGCUCAGGGUGCUGGCUGGGUGCACCCAGGGCACAAGGAGGCUGCUGGGGGUGCUGAGGUCAGGGUGCUGGGGGUGCUGGCAGGGUGCUGAGGGUGCUGGGUGCUCACCCACGCACUGCAGGUGCUCCUGCUCGUAGUAGUAGCCGCUGGGGCAGUAGCAGCUGAAGCCGGGGGCGGCGUUGAUGCAGACCCCCCCCCGGCACAGCUGCGGCGCAAACACCCGGCACUCGUCCACGUCUGGGGGGUGUGGGGGGCGCGACGUCAGGGGGAGGGUCCCCGGAAUCGGGGGGGGCACCCCCGAAAUGGGGGAGCCCCUAUAUAGGAGGGGAACCCCAAAAUUGGGGGAUAUUGCCCCCAAAUUGGGGGAUAUUGACCCCAAAAUAAGGGGGAUUCACCCAAAAAGGGGGGGGGGGGUAACCCCCCAAAAUAGGGGGGCAUCCCCAAAUUGAGAGGGCACCCCAAAAAAUGGGGACAUCCCCAAAAUGGGAGGGGUGAGUCCCCCAAAUGGGGGCCAUUCCCAAAUUAGGGGGGGUGAGUCCCCAAAAUGGGGGGCAUCCCAUAAACGGGGGAGCCCCAAAACAGGGGUGGCAUCCCCAAAAUGGGGGGUUAUCCCCCAAAUGGGCAGGGGCAACCCCAAACUGGGGGGGGGCAUCCCCAAAAUUAGGGAACCCCUAAAUACAGGGGGAGCCCCUGAGUAGGGGGGGAGGCCCUAAAUGGAGGGAGCCCCCAAAUGGGGGGGCCCCAUCGCUGUGCCCCCCCCCCCCCCUGGCCGCACUGACCUGCUGCUGAGCCCUGGGGCCCCGUGGUCUGGCCGGUCCCGUGGGGGCAGAGGGCUCGGUGCUCGGCUUGGGGGGGGGACAGCGGCGUCACCCCCCUGCACCUUGGCACCAUCCUGACCCCAUCCCCAGCCCAUCCCUGUCCCCAUCCACACCCCGAUCCCAAUCCCAUCCCAUCCCAGUCCUAAUCCCUAGCAACCCCUACCCCAGUCCCAAUCCCCUUCCAAUCCCAUCCCCAUCCCAAAUCCCAUCACCACCCCAAACCCAUCCCAAUCCCUUCCCACCCCAAUCCCAAUCCCAUCCUCCUCCCAUCCCAAUCCCAAUCCCAAUCCCUUCCCAUCCCAUCCCAUCCCAUUCCAUCCCAGUCCCAAUCCCAAUCCCAAUCCCAAUUUCAAUCUCAAUCCCAUCACCAUCCCCAUCCCAAUUCCAUCCCCACCCUCCCAAUCCCAUCCCAAUCCCAUCCCAAUCCUAAUCCUAUCUCCAUCCCAAUCCCAUCCCAUCCCAGUCCCAACUGCAACUCCAAUCCCAUCACCAUCCCAUCCCAUCCCACUCCAAUCCCAUCCCAUCCCAGUCUCAUCCCCAUCCCUUCCCAUCCCAGUCCUAAUCCCAUCCCCUUCCCCUUCCCCAUCCCCAAUCCCCAUCCCCAUCCCCAAUCCCAAUCCCAUCCCCAAUCCCCAU